AUGACAUCUUCGAAGAUCCGUAUACCGUUCAUGUGGUAUACUGAUUCAAAGCGAUGUCUAGAUCAACGUCCAAGGAGAAUUCUCUUGCAAUGGCAAGCGUACAUGGAAUCGCAUCUAUGGUUUCGUGGCUGGUUCGUUGGCACAUCU
rnacentral:snoRNA from 1 species